rnacentral:piRNA from 1 species
UGUGUCAUGCUGCUGCCGCACA